rnacentral:rRNA from 1 species
GACGUAGGUGGCGAACGUUAUCCGGAAUUAUUGGGCGUCCAGGGUGCGUAGGCGGCAUGAUAAGUUAUUGGCGGCAAAUCGAGGCUCAACCUCGUGGAAACUAAUAAUACUGUCUUGCUUGAGUGCAGAAGAGGUUAACGGAACUCCAUGUGGAGCGGUAAAAUGUGUAGAUAUAUGGAAGAACAUCAAUAACGGCGAAGGCAGUUAACUAGUCUGUUACUGACGUUGAGGCACGAAAGCGUGGGGAGCAAAAAGG